CACAUUUUUUGCACGUGUCUCCGCUGCGACAUACUUCUUCGGAGUGCUGAUGUGCCAGGCAAUUAGCGCAGUAUUUGUUAAUGAUAACGGCGCGUAGCCGCUUCUCAGUACUGAGCCUCAGAAACCUGAUCGAGUACCUCGGGAACGUCUGUCGUCCAGAGUUUGGGCGCUGCGAGGUCGUGGAGCCAUGGUUUUAAUG